UACGUAGGCAGCGAGCGUUGUUCGGAGUUACUGGGCGUAAAGAGUGCGUAGGCGGUUUUCUAAGUUUGGUGUGAAAUCUCCCGGCUUAACUGGGAGGGUGCGCCGAAGACUGGAAGGCUUGAGUAUGGGAGAGGUAAGCGGAAUUCCUGGUGUAGAGGUGAAAUUCGUAGAUAUUCGGAAGAACACCAGUGGCGAAGGCGACUUACUGGACACAUAUUGACGCUGAGGUGCGAAAGCGUGGGGAGCAAACAGG
rnacentral:rRNA from 1 species